CAAAUGCGAAUUAUAGCAACACCUUGCCUUUAAGAGAAGUGAAGAACACUUAAGAACUCAGAAUGUGGCUGGGAAAAGCAGCUCACUACGAGAUACAGUCAUCCUUAUUUUGCACGAGAGAGAACAAAGCAUCAAAAGUGUAAAAGAUCUGCCUAAGAAUAUAGAACCUGACAUGGCAGAAAAAUUUUCCACUGCCAGCACCAACCCCACGGUCAGCGCAAUGUCCAGCCAGCA
rnacentral:lncRNA from 1 species